GACAGAGGGGGCAAGCGUUGCUCGGAAUUACUGGGCGUAAAGGGCGCGUAGGCGGGAUGGCAAGUCGGUCGUGAAAUCCUUCGGCUCAACCGAAGAACGUCGAUCGAUACUGCUGUUCUUGAGGGUUGCAGAGGAGACUGGAAUUCCCGGUGUAGCGGUGAAAUGUGUAGAGAUCGGGAGGAACACCGGUGGCGAAGGCGGUUCUCUGGGCCUUACCUGACGCUGAGGAGCGAAAGCGUGGGGAGCGAACAGG
rnacentral:rRNA from 1 species